CUAGCCCACCGUCUCGGCCCCGAGUGAUGCACGGUUACUCGUGAGGGUAAACGUGAAGCGUUCACAGGGGAGGCCACAGGCUGGGUAUUGAGCUGCGAAAUGGGUCGAACUUCGAGGUGCCGAUCUCGUUCUCUUGAAGAGAAGGCAAUAUUGGCUCAUGCGUUUUGGCCAGCAUGAUUCCGGACCUCGCGCAGUCGUAGACCC
rfam:Methylomonas sp. DH-1 plasmid, complete sequence.